UACAGAGGGGGCAAGCGUUGUUCGGAAUUACUGGGCGUAAAGGGCGCGUAGGCGGCCAACUAAGUCAGACGUGAAAUCCCUCGGCUUAACCGGGGAACUGCAUCUGAUACUGGAUGGCUUGAGUUCGGGAGAGGGAUGCGGAAUUCCAGGUGUAGCGGUGAAAUGCGCAGAUAUCAGGAGGAACACCGGUGGCGAAGGCGGGUCUCUGGGCCGAUACUGACGCUGAGGAGCGAAAGCGUGGGGAGCGAACAGG
rnacentral:rRNA from 1 species